GCCGGCAUUGCUCGACGACGAUCCUUCCUCCGCCACGUGGGAUUGGGGAGAUCUCCUUGACUUCGCCGCAGACGACGACCGUCUACUCUUCUCCCCCCUUCCUCCUCCGGCGAUGAUUACGACGCAAUCUGAAUCGUAUCCUUCUCCGGAUGAAUCGGGCUCGGGCUCGGAUCGGGUCAGGAAGCGUGACCCGUAGACGACGACCAACUACUCUUCUCUCCCCUUCCUCCGGCGAUGAUUACGACGCAAUCUGAAUCGUAUCCUUCUCCAGAUGAAUCGGGCUCGGGCUCGGAUCGGGUCAGGAAGCGUGACCCGAGGCUGCUCUGUUCCAAUUUCGUGCAAGGGAUGGUCCCGUGCUCGUGUCCGGAGCUCGAUCAGAAGCUGGAGGAGGCU
rnacentral:lncRNA from 1 species